rnacentral:misc_RNA from 1 species
CCGGUACCGACACCUGCG